AACAGCUUCCACACAGUUAAUGAUAUCCUUUAACUUCUGAUUUCUUUUUGAGAGAUGCACAAGGAAUAGUUUAUAGCUUACUUAUAGUUUAUGAAUAAAAUUAUCCGAAACG
rnacentral:misc_RNA from 1 species